UACGAAGGGGGCUAGCGUUGUUCGGAAUUACUGGGCGUAAAGCGCAUGCAGGCGGAUCGCUAAGUCAGGGGUGAAAGCCCGAGGCUCAACCUCGGAACUGCCUUUGAUACUGGCGAUCUUGAGUCCGGGAGAGGUGAGUGGAACUCCGAGUGUAGAGGUGAAAUUCGUAGAUAUUCGGAAGAACACCAGUGGCGAAGGCGGCUCACUGGACCGGCAUUGACGCUGAGGUGCGAAAGCGUGGGGAGCAAACAGGG
rnacentral:rRNA from 1 species